rnacentral:rRNA from 1 species
UAUCUCUGUAGAGUCUGCAUAUCAAUAAGCGGAGGAAAAGAAACUAACUAGGAUUCCCUCAGUAACGGCGAGUGAAGCGGGAAGAGCUCAAAUUUGAAAUCUUAAAGGUUUUACCUUGACGAAUUGUAGUUUAAAGAAGUGUUUUCUGUUGAGUGUUUUGGUAAAAGUUCUUUGGAAUAGGACAUCAUAGAGGGUGAGAAUCCCGUAUUUGACCAUUACUUUCCAGCUUUGUGAUACACUUUCAAAGAGUCGGAUUGUUUGGGAAUGCAGUCCAAAAUGGGUGGUAAAUUUCAUCUAAAGCUAAAUAUUGGCGAGAGACCGAUAGCGAACAAGUACCGUGAGGGAAAGAUGAAAAGAACUUUGAAAAGAGAGUUAAACAGUACGUGAAAUUGUCAAAAGGGAAGCGUUUGACACCAGUGUUGUUUUCUCGAAAAUCAAUUAAAAAAAGUUGGAUUUUGUAUUGUUAAGACCUUAUCAGCUUACUGUACUCUUUUCUUGCUUUUUUUAAUGCACUUUUCGUUUAACAAGUCAACAUCAAUUUCUUUUGUUGUAAAAGGGUCAUUGGAAGGUGGCUUUCUUUUCGGAGAAAGCGUUUAUAGCCUUUGGCCUCUGCAAUCGGAGAGAUUGAGGUCUGCAGCGUAGAUCCUUCGGGGUUAGAUACAUUUGUGCUAAGUUAUAGCCUUUCAUAGACAACUUGUUGACUAUGAUCAGUCAUGUAGCUUACUCGCUUAUGCUAUUUUACCUACGCUUAGGAUGUUGACGAUCAGCUGAGCGCG